rnacentral:ribozyme from 1 species
UUUGGCAAAUAGAGAUCGAUGUGAUAAAAGAUUUGAAGACGAGAUUGGAACGGAUAAUUGGGGUGGGUGGUGGCCUGGUGAUUGGAGAGAGUCACUUCUUGGAAAGAUUGGUUUUUUUUUUUUUUUUUUUUUUUU